rnacentral:rRNA from 1 species
AUACAGAGGGUGCGAGCGUUAAUCGGAAUUACUGGGCGUAAAGCGCGCGUAGGCGGUCUAUUAAGUCAGAUGUGAAAUCCCAGGGCUCAACCUUGGAACUGCAUCUGAUACUGGUAGACUAGAGUUUUGGAGAGGGAGGUAGAAUUUCAGGUGUAGCGGUGAAAUGCAUAGAGAUCUGAAGGAAUACCAGUGGCGAAGGCGACUUCCUGGCCAAAAACUGACGCUGAGGUGCGAAAGCGUGGGUAGCAAACGGGAUUAGAAACCCCAGUAGUCC